rnacentral:misc_RNA from 1 species
GUAGGUGAACCUGCGGAAGGAUCAUUACCGAGAUUCGGGUCCUCCGGGGCCCAAUCCUCCCAAUCCUUUGUGUAUGUACCUCUGUUGCUUCGGCGGAUCCCGGGGUCGUGGCGUCUGGCUCGCCAGGCGUCAGCCCCGGCUCGCCAGGGGCUCUCUUCCAUUCUGAAUUAUCAAUGUCGUCUGAGUAAGCAAGCAAAUACGAAAACUUUCAACAACGGAUCUCUUGGUUCUG